rnacentral:rRNA from 1 species
AUUGAACGCUGGCGGCAUGCCUUACACAUGCAAGUCGAACGGUAACAGGUCUUCGGGUGCUGACGAUUUGCGCACGGGUGAGUAAUACAUCGGAACGUGCCCAUACGUGGGGGAUAACGAGGCGAAAGCUUUACUAAUACCACAUACGAUCUAAGGAUGAAAGCAGGGGGCCGCAAGGCCUAGUACGGUUGGAGCGGCCGAUGGAAGAUUAGGUAGUUGGUGUGAUAAAAGCUUACCAAGACGACGAUAUGUAGCUGGUCUGAGAGGACGACCCGCCACACUGGAACUGAGACACGGCCCAGACUCCUACGGGAGGCAGCAGUGGGGAAUUUUGGACAAAGGGCGAAAGCCUGAUCCAGCAAUGCCGCGUGAAGGAUGAAGGCCUUCGGGUUGUAAAAUGCUUUUGUUCGGAACGAAAAGGCUCUGGCUAAUACCUGGGGAACAUGACGGUACCGAAAGAAUAAGCACCGGCUAACUACGUG